rnacentral:rRNA from 1 species
UAUUUAUGGAGAGUUUGAUCCUGGCUCAGGACGAACGCUGGCGGCGUGCCUAAUACAUGCAAGUCGAGCGCGGGAAGCAGACGGAAUCCUUCGGGAGGAUGUCUGUGGAACGAGCGGCGGACGGGUGAGUAACACGUGGGCAACCUGCCUGUAAGACUGGGAUAACUCCGGGAAACCGGGGCUAAUACCGGGUAAUUCAUCGGAUCGCAUGAUCCGUUGUUGAAAGAUGGCUUUUGCUAUCACUUACAGAUGGGCCCGCGGCGCAUUAGUUAGUUGGUGGGGUAAUGGCCUACCAAGGCGACGAUGCGUAGCCGACCUGAGAGGGUGAUCGGCCACACUGGGACUGAGACACGGCCCAGACUCCUACGGGAGGCAGCAGUAGGGAAUCAUCCGCAAUGGACGAAAGUCUGACGGUGCAACGCCGCGUGAGUGAGGAAGGUCUUCGGAUCGUAAAACUCUGUUGUUAGGGAAGAACACGUUCCGUUUGAAUAAGGCGGAGCCUUGACGGUACCUAACCAGAAAGCCACGGCUAACUACGUGCCAGCAGCCGCGGUAAUACGUAGGUGGCAAGCGUUGUCCGGAAUUAUUGGGCGUAAAGCGCGCGCAGGCGGUUCCUUAAGUCUGAUGUGAAAGCCCAUGGCUCAACCAUGGAGGGUCAUUGGAAACUGGGGAACUUGAGGACAGAAGAGGAGAGCGGAAUUCCACGUGUAGCGGUGAAAUGCGUAGAUAUGUGGAGGAACACCAGUGGCGAAGGCGGCUCUCUGGUCUGUGCCUGACGCUGAGGCGCGAAAGCGUGGGGAGCGAACAGGAUUAGAUACCCUGGUAGUCCACGCCGUAAACGAUGAGUGCUAGGUGUUAGGGGUUUCCACCCUUAGUGCUGCAGUUAACGCAAUAAGCACUCCGCCUGGGGAGUACGGCCGCAAGGCUGAAACUCAAAGGAAUUGACGGGGGCCCGCACAAGCGGUGGAGCAUGUGGUUUAAUUCGACGCAACGCGAAGAACCUUACCAGGUCUUGACAUCCUCGGACCACCCUAGAGAUAGGGUCUUCCCUUCGGGGACCGAGUGACAGGUGGUGCAUGGUUGUCGUCAGCUCGUGUCGUGAGAUGUUGGGUUAAGUCCCGCAACGAGCGCAACCCUUGAUCUUAGUUGCCAGCAUU